rnacentral:misc_RNA from 1 species
AGGAUACAUUUAGGGGAAGAAUAUGCGAGUGCCCAGUUGUGAAAGGUGUACAGUACAAAGGAGAUGGCUAUGCAUCUUGUGAAGGUUUUGGACCUGCAAGGUGUACCAUAAAUAAUGGAGGAUGCUGGUCGGAAUCAAAAAAUGGGCUAACUUUCUCGGCCUGCUCAGAGUCCCAGUUAUCAGGCUGUCAGUGCCCAGAAGGCUUUCGCGGGGAUGGUCAUGAUAAGUGUGAAGAUAUCAAUGAAUGCAAGGAACGUACUGCUUGCCAGUGUGAUGGUUGCUCCUGUAAGAAUACUUGGGGUUCAUAUGAGUGCAAGUGCAAGGGAGACCUGCUUUAUAUUAAGGAACAAGAUGCCUGCAUUGAAAGAAACGGAUCUAAAUUUGGAUGGUUCCUCACCUUUGUGGUCGUAGCUGUUGUUGGAGGAGCUGGUGUUGCUGGUUAUAUAUUUUACAAAUACAGGCUCCGGUCUUACAUGGACUCAGAGAUCAUGGCUAUCAUGUCACAGUACAUGCCACUUGACAACCAACAUAACAAUGAAGUUCCAGCUGAAGUGCAACCUCUGCGACAGGGCACAUCUGUAUAAGCUAAAGCAAUCGGUUGUACAAAGAAUGUUCCUGUUAGAGGAUUAAAUCCAUUAUGCUGUAAAUUUUAGAUCCAAUGGCAGCUCUUACAUCAGGCAGGGAGAGGUCCACUUGUUGAUCGACAUAACAUUAUCAGGGCAUUACGAGUUUCCGAUAUAGAAAAAUACUACACAGAAUAUAUAUUUUUUUUGGCUGUAAGUAAAUAGUUGAGGUGUAAAUUUAUCUUCAAGGAUUAAUAAGGACAUACAUGGAUGAAAGGUAAGAGAAUAAACAAAAGGAGGAUAUGUGUAAAAUGAAAUAGUACUUGUUUAUCAUAUGUUAGUAAAUUUUAGAAACACGAUGUUCCUAUUCUAAAAAAAAAAAAAUAUAUAUUCUGUGUAG